UUACAAUUAUUGUAUGUUAAACAUUGACAUCUGUCUGGGUGGAACACCCUCCAUAAUGGGUGUCUGUGUGGGACACCCUCCAUUACGGCUCCAUCAGUGCUGAGCCCUCUCACUCUGAUUGUAUGGGACACUCAAUUACGGCUCCUUGUGUUUCCAAUCUUCUUCCUCUGGCAGGAUUACUUCCACGUGCAACUGUCAGACGACAAGCAGGUGAGGUACUUCCUGGAGCUGAGCUAUGCUGGUGCCAUCCUUCGGGACAGCUGGGUCCUGACAGACGUUGGCAUCACCCCUAGCAGUGCCAUCUGCUGCCUGCUGAAGGUUCCAGCUCCGGGUGGCACUCUACAUCGCUGCUUCUCUGGGCCACCUGGACCUGGCCGGCUGGCUGCUGGAGAGGGGGGUGCGUGUCAUUGAGCCGGUGGGGGUUCACCCUUACCGUGAGUGGUGCCACCAGACGGCCCACCCCGACGUCGCCAAGUGUCCCGCUGUCGCCUCCAUCGAACGAGGCCAGCUCACCAUCCUCAAACUCUUUAUCACCAGCAGCGUUCUGACCCUUGCCUGUCGGGAUCCCCAGGGUCGUGACCCCCUCAGGAUCGCCCUUCAGUACGGCCACAGGGAGUGUGUGAGUCACCUGGCCACCAAGCUGUGGU
rnacentral:lncRNA from 13 species